rnacentral:snRNA from 14 species
AUAUUUACCUGGCAGGGGAGACACCAUGAUCAAGCAGGUGGUAUUCCCAGGAUGAAGAUCAUCCUUUAAUAAGCACAGAGGAGGGCCAUGAGGAUGAUCAGGGGACUGGAGCACCUCCCGUAUGAAGACAGGCUGAGAAAGUUGGGUCUGUUCAGCCUGGA